AUGUGAUCGUCUCUCGCAUAUCAAUAAGCGGAGGAAAAGAAACUAACAAGGAUUCCCCUAGUAACGGCGAGUGAAGCGGGAAGAGCUCAAAUUUGAAAUCUUAAAGGGUUUCCCUUUACGAAUUGUAGUUUAAAGAAGUGUUUUCUGUUGAGGUUUUGGUAAAAGUUCUUUGGAAUAGGACAUCAUAGAGGGUGAGAAUCCCGUAUUUGACCUUUACUUUCAACUUUGUGAUACACUUUCAAAGAGUCGGAUUGUUUGGGAAUGCAGUCCAAAAUGGGUGGUAAAUUUCAUCUAAAGCUAAAUAUUGGCGAGAGACCGAUAGCGGACAAGUACCGUGAGGGAAAGAUAAAAAGAACUUUGAAAAGAGAGUUAAACAGUACGUGAAAUUGUCAAAAGGGAAGCGUUUGACACCAGUGUUGUUUUUCUGAAAAUCAAUUAAAGAACUGUUUAUGCUAAGUUGUUUAGACUUUAUCAGCUAACUGUUUAGUUUUGAGCUUUUCUUUAAUGCACUUUUCAGUUAACAAGUCAACAUCAAUUUCUUUUGCUGUAAAAAAGCUUGAGGAAGGUGGCUUGAGAUUCGUCUUAAGUGUUUAUAGCCUCUUGCCUAUGCAGUCGGAGAGAUUGAGGUCUGCAGCGUAGAUCCUUCGGGGCUAAAUGCAUUUGUGCUAAGUUAUAGCAUUUUAUAGACAACUUGUUGACUAUGAUUUGUCUUGUAGCUUACUCGCUUAUGUUAUUUUACCUACGCUUAGGAUGUUGAUAUGCAUGACUGAUAU
rnacentral:rRNA from 1 species